UACGUAGGGUGCAAGCGUUAAUCGGAAUUACUGGGCGUAAAGCGUGCGCAGGCGGUUAUGCAAGACAGAUGUGAAAUCCCCGGGCUCAACCUGGGAGCUGCAUUUGUGACUGUAUAGCUAGAGUACGGUAGAGGGGGAUGGAAUUCCGCGUGUAGCAGUGAAAUGCGUAGAUAUGCGGAGCAACCCCGAUGGCGAAGGCAAUCCCCUGGACCUGUACUGAC
rnacentral:rRNA from 1 species